rnacentral:rRNA from 1 species
UACGAAGGGGGCUAGCGUUGCUCGGAUUUACUGGGCGUAAAGGGCGCGUAGGCGGACAGUUAAGUUGGGGUGAAAGCCCGGGGCUCAACCUCGGAAUUGCCUUCAAUACUGGCUGUCUUGAGUGUGAGAGAGGUGUGUGGAACUCCGAGUGUAGAGGUGAAAUUCGUAGAUAUUCGGAAGAACACCAGUGGCGAAGGCGACUUACUGGACACAUAUUGACGCUGAGGUGCGAAAGCGUGGGGAGCAAACAGG